CAUUGGCAACUUAAGACAAAAAAAAUUCAUUGUAGAGUAGGUUCAACCUUUUCUUUCUUAAAACUUUCUUUUCCAUUUGUUCCUGUAAUUCAACGGGGUGUUGCAUGUUCAGGCCACACAUGUUGGAUCAGAGAGUGCUCUUUCUCAAAUUGUCUGACUUGUUGAAUCAUUGCAGAUAGCCAGAGCUCCUGUGCAAAAGUUUGCUGAUUGGAUCUCGAAGCACUUUGUGCCUUUUGACUUGUCUGGUUCAACCUUGAAAUCCAUGCAAAGAAUGGCAUCACCAAGUAUCACCUAGACGUGCUUACUCUACCUCUUCUUUGCAGCUUGCAAAGCAAGUUUUUGAGAUGGAUUCCUUGAGGACACGUAUGUUAAAAAAAGCUUUCAGUCUAAUUGAUAAUCGUGUUUUAUCCCUAUCAUUAUGCUCCUUUUGCUUCUAAUCUCAAGGAUCUAGAUCAGUUGAGCAUAAGCUUUGAACUCGGUUCUCCAUUCAAACCAUUCAAUCAGCUGAUGGGGGUUUUUCUAGCUGCAAGGCCGAAUGGGAUGGUUGGACUGAUUUCUUUUAACAGUACAUGCUUGUAAGGCCCCAUCAAAUGGAAACUUGUUAUCAAUAUUAUCGACGAUAUCGAUAUUGUUUUCAUAUCCCUGGCCAGCGAAACUUGUAGUGAUACCGAUACUUCGAACACUGGUCAUAACUUGAUUUUGCAGGUAUACUUGACUGCUGCAAUUUAAAAUUUCUUACUGCAAAAUGUGAUUUGUGCAUUUUAGUUUGCUGCCUAGGUUUAUUUGGUACUGAAAUGAUGAGAUUUUAUUUUGUUCACUUCCAUCAGGUUAUUUGGAGCAGAUAAGGAGUGGACUCUCUCAAAGUAAUUCAAACAAAGAAACUUCGAACUUACAAAACGCCUCGCCUCUCUCAACAAGCCAGAGAUCCCAGUUCUGCUGCUUGGUCAUGCAUGAUGACAUGCUCUGUGGUUUGGGUCAUGCAUCAUGCUUGCUUCACAAUGAGUAGAGCAUGGACGAUUUUUUAUUUAUUUUUCAUGUAUUC